GUAAGUAUCAUCAAUAUUAAUAAUUGAUAAUUAUUAGUAUUGGAUAAACUUAAG
rnacentral:pre_miRNA from 1 species